rnacentral:rRNA from 1 species
AACGAACGCUGGCGGCAGGCCUAACACAUGCCAGUCGAGCGAGGACUUCGGUUCUAGCGGCGGACGGGUGAGUAACGCGUGGGAAUGUGCCCUUCUCUACGGAAUAUCCCUGGGAAACUGGGAGUAAUACCGUAUACGCCCUUUUGGGGAAAGAUUUAUCGGAGAAGGAUCAGCCCGCGUUGGAUUAGGUAGUUGGUGGGGUAAUGGCCUACCAAGCCGACGAUCCAUAGCUGGUUUGAGAGGAUGAUCAGCCACACUGGGACUGAGACACGGCCCAGACUCCUACGGGAGGCAGCAGUGGGGAAUCUUAGACAAUGGGGGCAACCCUGAUCUAGCCAUGCCGCGUGAGUGAUGAAGGCCUUAGGGUUGUAAAGCUCUUUCAGGUGGGAAGAUAAUGACGGUACCAGCAGAAGAAGCGCCGGCUAACUCCGUG